UACGGGGGGAGCAAGCGUUGUUCGGAUUUACUGGGCGUAAAGGGCGCGUAGGCGGCCUCCGCAAGUCAGUUGUGAAAUCUCCGAGCUUAACUCGGAAAGGUCAACUGAUACUGCGGGGCUAGAGUGCGGAAGGGGCAACUGGAAUUCUUGGUGUAGCGGUGAAAUGCGUAGAUAUCUGGAGGAACACCGGUGGCGAAGGCGGCAUCCUGGACCGAUACUGACGCUGAGGAGCGAAAGCGUGGGUAGCAAACAGG
rnacentral:rRNA from 1 species